CACCAUGGGAGUGGGUUUUACCAGAAGUGGCUAGUCUAACCGCAAGGAGGACGGUCACCACGGUAGGAUUCAUGACUGGGGUGAAGUCGUAACAAGGUAGCCGUAUCGGAAGGUGCGGCUGGAUCACCUCCUUU
rnacentral:rRNA from 1 species